UUCUCUUCCUCUUUCUUCGGAGACUGAUGCUAAGUGUUUGUUCCCCUGCUUCCUUUUUUGCUGUGGAAUUGGUCUUCACUGCAGAUGUUUUGGUUCCGUUGGAAAAAGGAAAGCUCUGCAAGUAGACGAUCCAUCUUUAAGCUUUAAUUGCAGACUCAGUGGCAGCGUCGCACUCAGAGCACAGGGAAAACAAAGCGGCAUGAAAAGAAAACACACACAGUCGCUAGAGUGUUUGAAGCUUUCUGGGUCUUUCAUCUUCUCCCUCUUAUACCUGCUUCCCUCCCCUUAACUGGGCCACCUUGUCUCCCCUCCUGUCCGUCUCGUCUCUGUUGAUUCUAAACGCAAAGCCUGAUCUGCAGCCUGGAAUGUGUUUGUGUUCCUCGUCACACCGUCCUGCAGCUAAAGCAUGUCGGUCCUCGGUCUAGCAGACACCAGAGGACGAUUGAAGAACGUGUGAGACACAGAUUGUGAGGUGCUGACAAGAAGAUCGCUGCAAUGUGAAGUAGACCUACUUUGGGUUUGAAAUAUUCGCUCUUUGACUCUGUAAGUGACGGAGAACUCCAUGAUGGUCGGUGGCAGAAAUCAUCAAAGCACAAGUCCUAGUCGGGCGUCAUGGUUGGUGUUCUUACAGCCGACAAGGGUUCUGGCUUCUCCUCUUCACCAAACCUUGGCGGUGAGUAGUGAGAGAACCAGAAUGACUUCAGCUCACUUGCAGGCCAACAUGGCAAUGAGAUGACUGGUGACCUCACCCUCGCCAAUUGCUCUCCAUGAAUCACAGCCAGCUGGAGGCUUCACAGCUGCGGUUAAUUGACGCACCGAUCAUCUGGAGACUCUGUGUCUUCCUUUCAGCUGUCACCUUUUUUUUUGUAAACCCCAGCAACAAACUAGAUGCAGGAAAACAACA